CAGCUGCUGAUGGCAGCCCAGGCCAGCAUCCGGGCCCUGGAUGCUAGGAGCCACUGCUGCCCCCUUGGUCGUCUGAAGCCCUCUCUUCUUCCUGCCUCUGCUCAGAGCCCUGCGACCUGGCCCUAGCCCAGCCUGGCUGUACUGGCCACCAGACCCUGGAAUGUCAAGGCCUGGCCCAUGCCUGCCUGCCCAGCCUGUGGAACCCCGGUGGCCCCGCCAGCCAGGAUGAGGGGCCAGGCCACUGCCCUGGACGCUCUAUGGAUUUUUGAUCUGCUGCUUUUGUUGCUGCUGGGGUGCCAGCCAUGUGUGGUCUCAGGGUUGGACGUGGGUCCUGGGGCUGGGCCGUGCCCCAUGCUGGUGCAGGGAAAGUUCUUCGGUUACUUCUUGGUGGCCACUGAGUUCCCUGCUGAUGCCUUGCGCUACUCUUGGACCCUGUGCAACGCAGACCCGCACCGCUACAAGGUCUACGUGAAGUUGCCAGGGUGCCUGCCUGCAGCAGCCCUGUCUGCGUCCACAUCUACCUGUUGGAAUUCUUCCUGGAGUCCACGCCUAGCUACCUGGGACUGGAGAGCUGUGAUGUGCUGAGGCUCUACGACUCCUCAGGGUCCCCUGGCCUUCCUGCAGAUGAAGGGACAGCAGCUGCCGCCAGAUGAUGACCCUGGCCCCAGGGUGGGGCCCUCCCACCCCAGCGACAGCUCCAUUAAUUACCUGGUCAUGGGCAACCAUAACCCCAGUUACUUGGCUGGUGGCCCUGAGAACUGCCUCACCUGCCUGACCUAGGAUGGGGCGGGGAUGCACUCUAGAAGAUGCCAGACUUUGCUGGGGAGAAGAUUCUGGUCUAUUUCCAGUCUGUCUCUGAGGAAACACCCCAUGUGGAAACGCUAAUGAGGAUGAACACGACACUGUUUAAUUAUAGCCCAGCAAGUCAUUUAUAAUUACCUCUUCAUCUAAUGCUUCUGGGGAGGAAGGAGUGAACUAUGUUCCCGUUAGAGGUAGGGGACCUUUAAGUCAUACCGCCAGGAAUUCCGGAAGGACUGAGCCGUUACGGUGCUAGGAGGCGUUUAGGACUAUUGUUCUGGAACAACCAGCUGAACAACAGACCGACCACCCAACAAAACCUGUGAAUGAAGCAAGACAGAGGUCCAAAGUUACUGAGGCUGGCACAUUCCCCCCACCCCCAUCCACUUCAGUGGUGGUCUAUGUUGCGUUUGCAGUAGAGUGAGAAUUUCUGUCACAAUCUGCACUCUCUUGCUGGGAUCCCAGGCACAUGCAGUCAUUUAUGUUGUAUACUUACCCAGGAGUGGAAUUGUUGGGACAAAGUGUUGAAUCAUUAAUACGUGACCUCUGCCACUGUCAGGACACUUACUGAAAGAAGAGUUUUGAAGUUUCCAGCAAUAAAUUUUCCAUUUCUCUUUUAAAGUUUUUAGAUUUUUGCUUUUCUUAAAGCUGUUUUUAGAUACAUAAUAUUUUAGAAUUUUUAUGUUUUCUUGAUAAAUCGACCCUUUUAUCAAUAUGUAAUGUCUCUUUUUAUUCCUGGUAAUUUUCUUUGCUCUGAAGUAUAACUUGUCUGAUAAUAUAUAGCCACUUCGGUUUUCUUUUGGUUAAUGUAUGCAUAGUACACCUCUGUCCAUUCUGUAACUUGUAACCUAGGGGUGUCACUGUAUGUGAAGCAAGUUUCUUGCAUGUAGUCCUUCUGACAGUCUCUGUCUUUCCACUCAUUUCAUGACUUUUUAAAGAAUUUUUAUAAUAGUUGAUUUAAAAUCUUUUUCAAAUAUUAUCAACAUCUAUAUCCUUUCAGUGUAGGUGUCAAUUGUCUUUAACAUGAGUUGAGAUUGUCUUGAUUAUUUUUAUGAUGAGUAAUUUUGGAUUGUAUCAUGCACAUUUUGAAUAUUAUGUUAUGAGACUCUGUGCUUUAUUAAAUCCUAUAGAACAUGGUGGUUUCUUCUGUGGAUUGUGGGCUUAAUGUCAGCUCUGUUUUUAAAGCUUUUAAUUUAAAUUUGUCUUAUAUGUGUGCCACUCAUUGGAUAGCCUGGGGCCUGUGUGCUGGUCUGUUGCUUAGGGAAGUUCUCAUACUAUUUGAUAUGCUGUUUAAUAUCAGAUCCAUACACCAUUAAGUGCUAGAGUGACCCCAGAAGUUUAUCAGCAACCUUAUGGGGUCACCUUCCUAAGGUCCUCUCUCUCCGCUUUCUCUCUGGUGUUUUCCAGUUUCCUGAGGCUCCCUCUUUUAGUCUUCUAGCCAAAAAGCUGAGAUUUUAGAUUUAAUGGAAAAGAAAAUAUGAAAACAAAUAUAUGUAUGUGUAUGUAUGACUGGGACACUGUGCUGUACACCAGAAACUGACACAUUGCAAUUGACUAUAUGUCAAUUAAAAAAAUAAUUUUAUUAAUAAUAUUAAUAUUCACCUCUUCAGUUCCCCCCUCCUUUCUUGCUCUCUCUCCUUCAUCUUUAGAGGAACCAGAAAGCCCCCCCCUCUGUGUGAUGUGCACAGAAGUUCCAGCCACAUGAAGAUGCCUUGGAAUAUCAGCUUCUAUUAGCAAGUGUGUGUUUGUGUCCAUGCGUGUGUGUGUGUGUGUGUGUUGUAGAAAAUGCAGUUUUCUUUCUAAGAAGAAUAUGGUGACAUAUCUUAAUUUAAUAGUACUUUAAGGGCAUCUUCAAUCUAUCUACUUGUUUCCUAUAGUAUCUGUAUUCCCAGAUACCAUACUAUCUUUGUAAUGGGUUGGCCAUGACCUUCUGCCCAUGGCCCCCCACUGACCAAGCAAGAACUGUAAACAGUUCAUUACAUAAGUGGAGCGACCCAGCUGCCCUGGUGGGCGCAGCCGGACGGGCAGGAGUCCUUGCUGAUGGCUCUAAACCUUCCCAUUGCUUGUUCAGAUCAGCACCUUGGGAAGCUUGAACAGCAGACUCUAGAAGACAGCUGGGGGAACAAGAGAUAAACAAAGAGAAGAUCUUUAAUUCCCCUACAUCCUGCAACCUGACUGUUACAGGAAUCUCUCUCUCUCUGUCCUUUGCAAGAAAAAAAAAAAAAAGACCUGAUUAAAGCAAAAAGAGGACAGCUACUGUGAUUCAGAAAUUCAGAGAUACUUGCCUGGCAGAGACACCAUGAUCACGAAGGUGGUUUUCCCAGGGUGAGGCUUAUCCAUUGCACUCUUGCAACUUCCCCAAAUGUGCGAAACUUGACUCCAUAAUUUGUGGUGGUGGGGUACUGCGUUUGUGCUUCCCCAUCUCCCAAAACUAAGAAAAAGGAAAAAUUCAGAGACGUCUGUCUGUUCCAAGUGUUUCUGGUUCUCUAAAUGGAGUCUGUCUCUCUCUCUUCCUCUUUCCUUAGAAGCAGCCUCCCCCCUCUUCGUUUUGACGCCUUUCUCCCCUGGUCAGGUGUGAUGGGAGCAGGGAUGCCCCCUACCUGGGAAAAGCCCCUCCUGUCACUUGCUGUGGUUUUAUCCUACAAUUAUUCAGGUUUGAGGGGCAGAGUGUGACCUCUCUCCAGAAGCGGAGCAAAUGCUCUUCCCUUUGUGCCUGUCCCAGGGCCUGGAUGCUCAGGCUCUCACGUCUGCUCCAGGAUGGGAUCUGACCGCUUGAGUCAAACUGGUGGCGCAUAAAUGUUCUCUACACCCCCAACCCCAAAACAUAGAUAUGCACCCUCAGGUCCACGAGCUCAGGUUCUGGGUCCCUUCCCUGCAGCCAAAUGUUCUCAUCCUGGGGUCUUCAACUCUGGGGUCCUCCUUGCUGGUCUCUGAAGCUGCUGCUCCUCUGCGUAGCUCUGCCAGGCCCUGUCCCCUCUACCCGCCGGCCCUGCUGCUACUCUGUGGCUUCAAACCGUGCUUUCCUGGGACUUCCUGCUAAAUUCCCAUCUCCGCAAUGCUGACACCUUUAUUGUUCCUGGGCCCACACAGCGCAAUCACAGCCCCGCAGUGGACUGGACUUCACCAGAGAGUGAUGACUCCUUCAGACAAAUAACCGAAGCUCAUUUUAUGUGGUCAGCGAGCUCUAUGCAACUUUACGUGCUACUCGGACUUGUAAGAAGUGCCCCCUGUCCUCCUUCCACUCCCUGAGUCCUGUGUCUGAGACUGCUUGGGCAGCUCCCCCGGGGAACGCCGUCAC